GCCCUUAUAGCUCAGCGGUAGAGCACCUCACUUGUAAUGAGGCGGUCGUCCGUUCAAAUCGGACUGAGGGCU
rnacentral:tRNA from 1 species